UUCAAAACGUUCAAAAAAAGUUCUGACAUUAGUUCAUGACUUUUUUUUCAAACAUUUGCACAUCAAAGGGCUAGGUUGUAAACCGAUGGUUGGUUGAAUAUGUACAACAAAAAUUGAUUGUAGCGGUAAGAAGAAAUAAGGCGGUACCGGCUUUGUAAAGGUGUU
rnacentral:ribozyme from 1 species